rnacentral:lncRNA from 1 species
CUCCCCUUCUAACCCUCUGGCUGCCUUUCCCAGCCUCAGCUGAAGCAGUGACUGAGUGUUAGACUUGGAACAAUAGCAGAUGCUCCCCAGCUGGCAUGCUCUGUUCUCUUGGGUUCCAUCGUCCCCUGGCUGGCAUUUCAGAAUCUCCCAAUGUUAGAUGACCGAAGAUGGGAUAUGGCCAGAUCCUGUCCUGGGAUUCAAAUGGUUCUGUCAGGGACAAUGCUGGUGUUGACCACCUCCUGGAAUACUGCAGGAUUCUUUCAGAGCAACAGCCAAAUGAAGACAGCCGUGGGAUCAAGCCUUCUGUACUAAUUGUGAUGUCACUGGGAAGUGGGCUUCCCCUGUGGACACUGGAUUGCUAUUGGACCUGAGUUUUCAAGGUUCUGGCCAACCUGGGCAGCUAAGGAAGCUCCCUGACACAGCAAACCAUGGCUGCAGUACACAAGUGUGCUACAGCCCAAUCCUGGACAUAUGGUCGUUACCAAAACCCCAGUCAUCUUCUUGAAGGAGCCUUAGUAUAGGAAACCAGAGAGUCAAGACCCAGGUAAGCUGGCCCGUGAGGCGUGGUUCCCAUCGCCAGGAGACAACAGCCGCGCUGACCAGCUGCUGGCAAUUUCUUCGGUCACCCUGCCUCUCAACUUCCAAAGCCCCAUGGUUUUCGGGUUUACCCACAUAUGACCCUUAUGUAAAUUUGCUUGUCCCAAGAACCCUUAACUCAUAUCGUG